rnacentral:lncRNA from 1 species
CAACAGCAUAUGGCUCUCCUAGAUAUGUAUCUGAAGAUCCUUUUUUUUUUUUUUUUGGAAUGUUGACUACUCCAAGUGAUAAGAUCCCAAAUAAUUUGGGAACAUAGUUGUAUCCUACAUCCCUAAAGACCAGAUGCUGGAUUACCUUCUUUUUAAGCAGCACUAAGAGGAACCAAAACCUUUCUUCGCCUGGUUUUCUUUCUGCUAAAUGAAGGCCCCACCUACCCUACUCAGCUCUUAGGAUUAUAGGGAGAAACCUUAUUGUAAGGAAUGCCCUUAACCAUCAGAGAUCUCUUCUAGAUGCUUCCUCCCAACUUAAAGCAAAGAAAGGCUUGCUUUCCUCAUCGCGUGCUUUGGUACUUCUAAGCUGAUGCCCACAGGAAAAGGAAUAAAUAUCUAAAGGGUGAACUGGAGCA